rnacentral:rRNA from 1 species
ACGGGAGGCAGCAGUGAGGAAUAUUGGUCAAUGGGCGAGAGCCUGAACCAGCCAUGUCGCGUGCAGGAAUACGGCCCUAUGGGUUUUAAACUGCUUUUGCCUGGGGAUAAAGUGGCGGACUUGUCCGUUAUUGCAGGUACCAGGCGAAUAAGGAUCGGCUAACUCCGUGCCAGCAGCCGCGGUAAUACGGAGGAUCCGAGCGUUAUCCGGAUUUAUUGGGUUUAAAGGGUGCGCAGGCGGCACGUUAAGUCAGCGGUGAAAUGUCGGGGCUCAACCCGGGCACUGCCGUUGAAACUGGCGAGCUUGAGUACGGAUGAAGUCGGCGGAAUGUGAUGUGUAGCGGUGAAAUGCUUAGAUAUGUCACAGAACACCGAUUGCGAAGGCAGCUGACUAAUCCGCAACUGACGCUCAGGCACGAAAGCGUGGGGAUCGAACAGGAUUAGAUACCCUGGUA